rnacentral:piRNA from 1 species
UGCAUGCUAAUAAGCACUCUACGACUGAGCC